GAGGCUACAAACACUGCAGCUGACUUCUGAUUCACUGGAGACAGCCUUGGAGGAGAAAUGGUCAGAUAGCAAAUGUUGCCAUUCUUCUGGAAAACUGCUGGUCUUUAAAGAACAGUCAUCAAUCAGGAUCCUCUGUUCCCAGACCCAACCAUUCAUCUGAAGGACUGUGAAAAUAUGAACCUUUUGAACCACCGGUGACAGUUUCCACAUGAUAAAUAGAAAGGACAUGGCAGAGGAUGAUGGGGUAUUGAUAUUUCACUAAAAUGAAAUAUCAUUUAAUUACAUUUAGUCUGCUAGUCAGAAUUAUAGCUGAUUAAAUA